rnacentral:lncRNA from 1 species
CUGAUUCAAAUUUGCCGAGUAGGGCCGUAGUUGAGAGCAAUGAUUGAUUUGCUAGAAUGACAUGUAAUCGGCCGAGUCGAUUGAUCGCUGUGACGAUCCAAGUGGUUGAAUUGUUUGGAUAAUGUGAUUGUGACAUGGUUGUUUGGUUAUCAUAAUUGUACGUGGUUGGAUUAUAUAAAUUGUGCUAACCUGCAGAUGAAGGCUGAGGCGAGGUAAGUCUUCUGUGUGAUGUGGCUAGGCCACCCUUGGGCGUAUUUUCUUUCU